GUGGACUCGACACCAUCAACUGCCAGACGGUGUUCAGAAGUCAUUAAGAAGGCUAACAGAAUGUCAGGUUAUAUAGCGCCUUGAUGUGUGGAGUACAAGUCACAGGAGGUUCUGCUCAGGCUUUAUAGCACACUGGUGAGGCCUCAUCUGGAGUCCUGUGUGCAGUUUUGGUCUCCAGGCUACAAAAAGGACAUAACAGCACUAGAGAAAGUCCAGAGAAGAGCAACCAGGGUGAUUCAGGGCUACAGGAGAUGAGUUAUGAGGAAAGAUUAAAAGAGCUGAGCCUAAAAAGGAGAUGAAGAGGAGACCUGACUGAAGUGUUUAAAAUGAUGAAGGGAAUUAGUGCAGU